GAAUGAGUACAUGUGUGGAUUCCUUGGCUGUGUGCUGUGUGUACUGAUUGGUUUCCUCCUCAGAGCAAUAUUGUGAUUCAGAUGGCUGAAGUGAGUCAGACUAUUUCUCUGGUGAGAAGCCUAGUGGUCUGGAAAUUAGAGAGGCAGUAUAAGGCAUGUGUGAGAACACCAACACUUGCUCUACCUGGGUAUACCUGGGCACUGGGCCUUUGUUUUCUUAUUUGUAGAAUGGUGUGACAGUGGUACCUGCCUUGUGGGGUUGCUAUUAUGACAAUUAGAUGACAUUGCAUUUGGUUGGAACAGAACUUAGAACAUUGUAGGUGCUCAAUAGAUAUAAGCUACUAUGGUGCCCUUUUCCAGAUGAAUGAGAGAUGGAGAUACAAAAGGAGCAGGCCAACCUAUGCCAAUUUACCAACAAGCAAGUUUCAUGAGAACCACUUCACCAGAUGAGAGAAUAGUUUAGUUCAUACUGCGGUAUUGUAUGACAAAAGGCAGAGGUCAAGUGGAUGACUCAUAGCAUGGCCAACAUCACUCAGCUACAGCUGCGGAUCUGUAGCAUGUUCUCACUGGCCAAGAGACUGCUGAUUCAGGCAAAUCUUCUGUGGGCUGGAUUAUGUGAGAAAGAAAGUGUCCAUUUUUGGGUCUCUGGAAGGAAAAGGAGACUCAGUUUUUAAGGGAAUUAAGAGGAAACAAGGCAAAAAAUAAUUUCUCUCACAAAAAAAAAUAAAUAAAAGGGUGUGCUAUAUUACA
rnacentral:lncRNA from 12 species